rnacentral:lncRNA from 1 species
GGCAUUGGCAUUGUGGAGAUGAACUAGGCAGGUACUCUCCCUCAAGUACUUCCCAGCCCAGAAGGGGACAGGACCACACCUGAGGACUAUCCUAAAGAUCUGAACAGUGGAGACAGAAUGAAGAGAGCUUGCUUGGACAGCUUUAUGUAGCAGAGCUGGUACAAGUGACUUAGGCCUUGAAGGGACUCCUGAGCAUCAUUCAAGGAAUUCUCUGGUCUCUAAACCCAAGUCUAAAGGCAGCUGAUUUAUCUGAUUUAUCCCUGGGAGCCACACCCAGCACAGGGCCAAGCACAAACACAAGAUCACAUGAACGAGGACAGUGAGUCACUUGGGAUAUGGAGAGACGCAAGAGGAUCAGAAGUUUGAGGCCACCCUCAGGAACACAGCAAGUCUGAGGGCAGCCCGAGCCACACACGCUUCUUACCAAGAAAGGAUGAAGCCAAUGUUCCCACUCUAUCCUAAAAUAGGCUGCCAAGCACACCCAAGAAUGUGUCCUGUGACCCCACACUAGAAGACCUUGACACUCAGUAUGAUCGCAUCACGAAGCCUGAUCUAUACCCAAGGGUGGGAACCGCAUCACUGUGGUCUCUACCCAUCAUGGAGACCCUCUCACUCACUCACUCGCCCACUCACUCACAGUGUGACCUUGGGAAGCCACUGAACUGAUCUAGUCUCUCUCCCAUAAAAUGGACUAAUGGUUGCAUCUCCCCCGAGAGCUUGGCAGAAGGGUUAAAAUUAAUAUGUACUGAAUGCUAUUGAUUAUAUAAAGUUAUUAUAUGU